rnacentral:rRNA from 14 species
UUCAAAUUUUACAAUUUAAAAAAAACAGGAAAACAAAAAGUUAAUACGAAAAAUAUGAAAGUUAAAUUUCGUCAA